rnacentral:rRNA from 1 species
GAUGAACGCUAGCGGUAGGCUUAACACAUGCAAGUCGAGGGGCAGCACAAGGUAGCUUGCUAUCUGGGUGGCGACCGGCGCACGGGUGCGUAACGCGUAUGCAACUUGCCCUAUACAGGAGGAUAACCCGUCGAAAGACGGACUAAUACUGCGUAUGCUCACAACUUGGCAUCAAGUGGUGAGGAAAGAAAUUCGGUAUAGGAUAGGCAUGCGUCCCAUUAGCUUGUUGGUGAGGUAACGGCUCACCAAGGCAACGAUGGGUAGGGGAACUGAGAGGUUUAUCCCCCACACUGGUACUGAGACACGGACCAGACUCCUACGGGAGGCAGCAGUGAGGAAUAUUGGUCAAUGGGCGCGAGCCUGAACCAGCCAAGUCGCGUGAAGGAUGACUGUCUUAUGGAUUGUAAACUUCUUUUAUACGGGAAUAACAAGAGUCACGUGUGACUCCCUGCAUGUACCGUAUGAAUAAGCAUCGGCUAACUCCGUG